rnacentral:lncRNA from 1 species
GUUUGCUUUGUUUUUUAAGCCAGAGCUGCUGCUGGACUGAGGAGCUGGGAUAGGCAAGACUGUAGACCUAUAACCCCAUUGGCUCACUUCUCUCUCUAGGAUCUGGCCUUCUUUUAGAGAAAGCUGACUCAGAGGGUCAUGUCAGCUCUGCAAAGGGUACCACGGAGACCAGAAUUGCUGUAGGAUUCCCUAGGGAGGGAGUGUUGCAGAAUCACUCUCAUAGUAGGUGGCUCUGGGCCAGAGUCCCAUGGAGGGGCAUGGGGAACUCUUGUUUCACCGCAGAACUAGAGCAGCAGGUGGGGCUCUGGAGACGGAUUCCAAGGAUCUAGUCUGCUUCCGGGUCCUCACAAUCUGGUUUACCCCUGAUCUCAUCUGCUUUGUUCUGAUUCUCAUGUUUCUGUUUUAGUUCUCUUUUCAAGACCUCUGUGGAGAGUGUCACCUACAGACAAACUGUCCUCCCUCAACCAGGCCGGUAGGGAGAGAAAACUGAGAUGUGGAAAGCUCUGGAGGAGACCUGGAGACCAAGCAAAAUCUUCCCAUGACUUGGGCGCACUGGGAAUAAAACUAACAUUUGAAAACCAUUUUACUUAAGUUUUUCUUUUGUUUUGUUUAUUU